AUGGCCAGGCUGUCUCCACCCGAGACUCAGUGAAAUUGAACUCGCUGUGAAGAUGCAGUGUACCCGCGGCAAGACGGAAAGACCCCGUGAACCUUUACUAUAGCUUGACACUGAACAUUGAGCCUUGAUGUGUAGGAUAGGUGGGAGGCUUUGAAGCGUGGACGCCAGUCUGCGUGGAGCCGACCUUGAAAUACCACCCUUUAAUGUUUGAUGUUCUAACGUGGACCCGUAAUCCGGGUUGCGGACAGUGUCUGGUGGGUAGUUUGACUGGGGCGGUCUCCUCCUAAAGAGUAACGGAGGAGCACGAAGGUUGGCUAAUCCUGGUCGGACAUCAGGAGGUUAGUGCAAUGGCAUAAGCCAGCUUGACUGCGAGCGUGACGGCGCGAGCAGGUGCGAAAGCAGGUCAUAGUGAUCCGGUGGUUCUGAAUGGAAGGGCCAUCGCUCAACGGAUAAAAGGUACUCCGGGGAUAACAGGCUGAUACCGCCCAAGAGUUCAUAUCGACGGCGGUGUUUGGCACCUCGAUGUCGGCUCAUCACAUCCUGGGGCUGAAGUAGGUCCCAAGGGUAUGGCUGUUCGCCAUUUAAAGUGGUACGCGAGCUGGGUUUAGAACGUCGUGAGACAGUUCGGUCCCUAUCUGCCGUGGGCGCUGGAGAACUGAGGGGGGCUGCUCCUAGUACGAGAGGACCGGAGUGGACGCAUCACUGGUGUUCGGGUUGUCAUGCCAAUGGCACUGCCCGGUAGCUAAAUGCGGAAGAGAUAAGUGCUGAAAGCAUCUAAGCACGAAACUUGCCCCGAGAUGAGUUCUCCCUGAGACUUAG
rnacentral:rRNA from 1 species